CUCGUCCUCUUGUCAGAGGGUGGUGUGCCUCUGUACCAUCGAGCAGUGGAUGAGUGUUUAAUGCUCUUAGCAAACACAGUGUUUAAUGCACAGGCUCCUCUGCUCUGCUAAAGCUUCCUGCUCCGUCUGCUCCUUUGUCCUCGUGUUGUUAGACGCCUGCCAUCUGCUCCAUGUUAUCAUUACAGGCGGAUUUCGAUCCAAAGUAGCUGCUGCUCCCUUUCGCCCACACUCAGACCCAGGAUCUGUCGGUGGACAUGAUUCACCAGGUUUGAAUAAACUCACUCUGGGUUUAUUUCACUGUUUAUUUCUCACAGAGCUCAACUUUGCCUCAUUCUUCACGUAACGGUGUACGGUUGCCUGGUGACGUCACCGUCCCAGCACAGAGUUCGGUUGUCUUUUCAUCAGCAGCGUUAGCAUUAGCAUCAGCAGCCUGAGGAGAGAAAUCAGCCGGGAUGCUUUUCACUCUCAGCCCGGACUGCUGCUCCAAACUCCGGGUGAACUUUGCGCCCGGAACCCUCCGCCGCCUGUGAGGGUGUGGACCGGGCCAUGCUCCGAGGAGCCGCGGGGUCGAAGAGAAGCCGACGAUGAAAACGUGGACCCCGGAGCUGAGACUGGCGAAUCUGACUGCAGCAGGAUGUCAUCGUGUGGCAUUGAGCUCAGGACCAGGCGGGCCAGGCCACAGCGGCAGCAG